CGAAAGGGAUCAACAAAAACUCAGAUACUACUGCCAAUUCUUCAAUCUCAACUUUAUCAGAUUGUAAUGGAAGAACUACGUGGUGACACACCUGAUACUUUUGAUUGUGAGAUCAGACUGAGGGUGAAUCCUCAAAGGCGAAAGGAAAAGGUUUACGUAGGUUGUGGUGCUGGAUUUGGAGGUGAUCGACCAAUAGCAGCGUUAAAGUUACUUCAGAGGGUGAGGGAGUUGGAUUAUUUAGUGCUGGAAUGCCUAGCAGAGCG
rnacentral:misc_RNA from 1 species